rnacentral:rRNA from 1 species
UUUGAUCAUGGCUCAGGAACGAACGCUGGCGGCGUGCCUAAUACAUGCAAGUAGAACGCUGAAGAGAGGAGCUUGCUCUUCUUGGAUGAGUUUGCGAACGGGUGAGUAACGCGUAGGUAACCUGCCUUGUAGCGGGGGAUAACUAUUGGAAACGAUAGCUAAUACCGCAUAACAAUGGAUGACACAUGUCAUUUAUUUGAAAGGGGCAAUUGCUCCACUACAAGAUGGACCUGCGUUGUAUUAGCUAGUAGGUGAGGUAACGGCUCACCUAGGCGACGAUACAUAGCCGACCUGAGAGGGUGAUCGGCCACACUGGGACUGAGACACGGCCCAGACUCCUACGGGAGGCAGCAGUAGGGAAUCUUCGGCAAUGGGGGCAACCCUGACCGAGCAACGCCGCGUGAGUGAAGAAGGUUUUCGGAUCGUAAAGCUCUGUUGUAAGUCAAGAACGAGUGUGAGAGUGGAAAGUUCACACUGUGACGGUAGCUUACCAGAAAGGGACGGCUAACUACGUGCCAGCAGCCGCGGUAAUACGUAGGUCCCGAGCGUUGUCCGGAUUUAUUGGGCGUAAAGCGAGCGCAGGCGGUUUGAUAAGUCUGAAGUUAAAGGCUGUGGCUCAACCAUAGUUCGCUUUGGAAACUGUCAAACUUGAGUGCAGAAGGGGAGAGUGGAAUUCCAUGUGUAGCGGUGAAAUGCGUAGAUAUAUGGAGGAACACCGGUGGCGAAAGCGGCUCUCUGGUCUGUAACUGACGCUGAGGCUCGAAAGCGUGGGGAGCGAACAGGAUUAGAUACCCUGGUAGUCCACGCCGUAAACGAUGAGUGCUAGGUGUUGGAUCCUUUCCGGGAUUCAGUGCCGCAGCUAACGCAUUAAGCACUCCGCCUGGGGAGUACGACCGCAAGGUUGAAACUCAAAGGAAUUGACGGGGGCCCGCACAAGCGGUGGAGCAUGUGGUUUAAUUCGAAGCAACGCGAAGAACCUUACCAGGUCUUGACAUCCCGAUGCUAUUUCUAGAGAUAGAAAGUUACUUCGGUACAUCGGUGACAGGUGGUGCAUGGUUGUCGUCAGCUCGUGUCGUGAGAUGUUGGGUUAAGUCCCGCAACGAGCGCAACCCCUAUUGUUAGUUGCCAUCAUUCAGUUGGGCACUCUAGCGAGACUGCCGGUAAUAAACCGGAGGAAGGUGGGGAUGACGUCAAAUCAUCAUGCCCCUUAUGACCUGGGCUACACACGUGCUACAAUGGUUGGUACAACGAGUUGCGAGUCGGUGACGGCAAGCUAAUCUCUUAAAGCCAAUCUCAGUUCGGAUUGUAGGCUGCAACUCGCCUACAUGAAGUCGGAAUCGCUAGUAAUCGCGGAUCAGCACGCCGCGGUGAAUACGUUCCCGGGCCUUGUACACACCGCCCGUC